UUCUUAUCCCCUACUCAUAAGUAAAAUCUGCUCCAUGUAAAAUAAAUAGCCGCAGAAUUUUAACUGUGCUAAGGUAGCAUAAUCAUUUACCUUUUAAUUAAAGGUUUGAAUGAAUGAUUUUACAUUUAAAUUACUUUUUUAUUAAAUUUUUUAGAAUUUAAAUUAAACAUAAAAAUGUGUUUAUAAAUUAAAAAGACGACAAGACCCUAUUGAACUUCACUAAAGUUAAGCUGGGGAAGCUAAUUAAAUAUAAUUUUAAUUAAAUUAAAAGAAAAAUCUGAUAUAACCAACCUGAAAAAGUUACCAUAGGGAUAACAGCGUAAUAAUUUUUUAAAGCUCUUAUUAAAAAAAAAGUUUACGACCUCGAUGUUGAAUUAGAAUAUCUUUAAACCGCAAUAGUGCUAAAAGUAGGUCUGUUCGACCUUUAAAAUUCUACA
rnacentral:rRNA from 1 species